UUCUCCGACACGUCAAAGUGGUCAGUGAUGUGUCGCAAAAUGAAAUUCAUAUCACAGCCAGCUUUGAUGUGUUGUGCGCUUGUCGACCCAU